GGGGAUGUAGCUCAGCAGAAGUGCGCAUGUUUUUUAUGUAUGAGGACCCGGCUUCAAUCCCUGGCAUCUACA
rnacentral:tRNA from 1 species